rnacentral:rRNA from 1 species
UACAGAGGGUGCGAGCGUUGUCCGGAAUCACUGGGCGUAAAGGGCGCGUAGGUGGCGCCGCAAGUCCAUGGUGAAAGCUCGAUGCUCAACAUCGAGUCGGCCACGGGGGACUGCGGGGCUCGAGCACUGUAGGGGCAGAUGGGAAUUCCGGGUGUAGCGGUGGAAUGCGUAGAGAUCCGGAAGAACACCGGUGGCGAAGGCGGUCUGCUGGGCAGUUGCUGACACUGGAGGCGCGACAGCGUGGGGAGCAAACAGGG